UACAGAGGUCUCAAGCGUUGUUCGGAUUCAUUGGGCGUAAAGGGUGCGUAGGUGGCGCUGUAAGUCGGGUGUGAAAUUCGGAGCUUAACUCCGAAACUGCAUUCGAUACUGCGGUGCUUGAGGACUGGAGAGGAGACUGGAAUUCAUGGUGUAGCAGUGAAAUGCGUAGAGAUCAUGAGGAAGACCAGUGGCGAAGGCGGGUCUCUGGACAGUUCCUGACACUGAGGCACGAAGGCCAGGGGAGCAAACGGG
rnacentral:rRNA from 1 species